rnacentral:rRNA from 1 species
AUAAUGGGUCAGCGACUUAUAUUCUGUAGCAAGGUUAACCGAAUAGGGGAGCCGAAGGGAAACCGAGUCUUAACUGGGCGUUAAGUUGCAGGGUAUAGACCCGAAACCCGGUGAUCUAGCCAUGGGCAGGUUGAAGGUUGGGUAACACUAACUGGAGGACCGAACCGACUAAUGUUGAAAAAUUAGCGGAUGACUUGUGGCUGGGGGUGAAAGGCCAAUCAAACCGGGAGAUAGCUGGUUCUCCCCGAAAGCUAUUUAGGUAGCGCCUCGUGAAUUCAUCUCCGGGGGUAGAGCACUGUUUCGGCAAGGGGGUCAUCCCGACUUACCAACCCGAUGCAAACUGCGAAUACCGGAGAAUGUUAUCACGGGAGACACACGGCGGGUGCUAACGUCCGUCGUGAAGAGGGAAACAACCCAGACCGCCAGCUAAGGUCCCAAAGUCAUGGUUAAGUGGGAAACGAUGUGGGAAGGCCCAGACAGCCAGGAUGUUGGCUUAGAAGCAGCCAUCAUUUAAAGAAAGCGUAAUAGCUCACUGGUCGAGUCGGCCUGCGCGGAAGAUGUAACGGGGCUAAACCAUGCACCGAAGCUGCGGCAGCGACGCUUAUGCGUUGUUGGGUAGGGGAGCGUUCUGUAAGCCUGCGAAGGUGUGCUGUGAGGCAUGCUGGAGGUAUCAG